UGCUCACAGCCAAUGAUUGUCACCCUCUAUUUGGCCGUCCUUAGCUCAGAGGAGACAUCUGCCUCCUACAGGGAAAGCACGAUGUACUGAGGGUGUCUAGGGGACCCAGGUAAAUUGUCAAACAUUCCUAAACAGUUUCAUUACUUGAUCUGGAAGGGAGCCAGGGCACUCCAUAAUAUCAACAGUGGUAUAUAGUGGUUAUGAUACUUGGAAUUUUUCUUUAAAUCUUUGCUCUCAUUACAUUAUAAAGAGUUACAAAUCAAGUAAAGGAUCAUCAAGUAUCCCCCUCUCUUCAAGAAGCACUCCAAACUAUUGUCUCAGCCAAUGGGCUAGACCUGCACUGCAGGGCUUCGCUCAGGAGAGAGAGCUGAAGCUGCUAUGCAUUGCUCAAUAUAAUACGCCAUUAUAAUGAUUUUAUCCUUGGUUACCUUUAGCCAUGGCAACAUUUAGGGCUUGCUGUUAAAGGAACACUCUAUAAAUAAUCUAGUUUAGAU